UUGAAUAUACAACAUGGGGAUGUUGCUGACUUGUUCAUAUUUUUUUGGACUGGUAAUGUGCACUCCUCUAAUAUUCAUUAUCCACCUGUGCACAUAGAGUAGGCAUGGAUUCAGUUCCUUGCCUAUGCUUCUUUUAUAAACAUAUUUUGUGAAAGAUUGUUUAUAUAUAUAUAAAAAUAUUA
rnacentral:misc_RNA from 1 species